ACAGAUAGAGCUAGAGGAGAUCACAGAAACUUAUUAAUAGCUCGAGUGCAAACCAAAAAUACACAACAAAACUUUUCAUUUAACAGUUUCCUUCAAGUGAAAACUAACCUAAGACAACGUGCAAACAGCUUAGCAACAUUUGAGUGCGCAACAAUGUUGCUAAACAAGCGCGCUCUCUUCGCACAUCGUCAAGCGCAAGCGUCUAGCCCCACUUCGUGAGUGCUCGUUCGUGCCGUGUUCGUAACUCGUCCAGCCGAAGGCUGCGCGUCAGCGUCGUCAUUCGUCGUCAGCCGGACUUCGUUUUUAAAGCUAUAACAAAACUCAAAUUGUGUUAGUUGGUAAGAAGCGUUCGUCGGCAACGGGCGGCAAAGCGGAUGCAAUACCCGAACUGAUUAAUCGUGUCUCUCAUUAAAUAAGUGUCCAUGUGUGAGUGCCCACGUGUGUGUGUGCCGUGGCAGUGUGAAGCGCGCGCGUGUUGCACAAGUUGUUGUCCUCGCCGUGUUUAGAAGCUAAUGAAAAGCCGUUGCCUACUUGCAGGCGGACAGGCCGCAGCAAGUGUUGCUCAUCAGCAGCAGCAGCAGCUUAAAACUGUGCAAUAAGAGACUAUAAAGCAGAGGAAGAGCGGGAGUAAGCAUGAGCGCUUUAACAUUAAAAUGCCAUUUGCCAGCGCUUGUCAAACUGUGCCCAAGUCGGAUUAAUAAAUUGCGUAAAUAACAAAUUCGAAAAAAA